rnacentral:lncRNA from 1 species
UUUAGAUUCAGAAGAGUUGUUGAGUGGCUUAUAACAACAAGGAAACAUGAGAUGUCAAAUUGUAAAAAACUGUCAAAAACACUUAGAAUUUUUUCUAAGUGUCAAACAGCUUAAACUUUGAGUUUUGGUGGCCAGUUAUCUCUAUGAUCCCAAUGUAUUCAGGACAAGUGAUCAAAAUCAAAGUUGUAGAGGCAGAUGCCAUAUUUCCAAUGACACCAAGAGCAUGAAUUUAUCCUUCUUGAGAACCAAGUUUCGAAGGGGAGAAGUGACCAUGUUAGAGCUGAUUUAUGGG